rnacentral:rRNA from 1 species
CCUACGGGAGGCAGCAAUUAGGAAUCUUGCGCAAUGGGGGCAACCCUGACGCAGCGACACAGUGUGGAGGAGGAAGGUCUUCGGAUUGUAAACUCCUUUUAUGAGGGAAGAAUAGAUGACGGUACCUCAUGAAUAAGCCCCUGCUAACUACGUGCCAGAAGCAUCGGUGAUGAGUAGGGUGCGAACGUUAUCCGGAUAUAUUGGGCGUAUAGAGAUGCGUAGGUGUUUUUGUAAGUCUUUAGUUAAAUACCACGGCUCAACCGUGGAGAAGCCUUGGAAACUACAGAAAUUGAGACAGGAAUGGGCGAAUGGAAUUCCCAGUGGAGCGGUGAAAUGCGUUGAGAUUGGGAGGAACAUCAGUGGCGAAGGCGAGUCGCUGGUCCUUGUCUGACACUAAGGCUCGAAAGCGUGGGGAGCGAAAC